rnacentral:antisense_RNA from 1 species
CUUUCCUGUUAAAUGGGCACACUGCUACCUGCUUCACAGGGCUGCUGAGAAGAAAGGAGACAGGCGCAUCCGCACACAGAAAGCACUCAGUAAAUGCUGUUUCCCCCCUUCCCCCUAUACAAAGAGACUGAAAGCAACCGCGGCUGCCCUGAGGUCCGAACUGGAGGGUGGGCGCAGCCGUGGCUGCCUUGGGAACCGCGCUGCCUCGACUCGGCUACCUCUCGCUGGGCGGUCUUGCGAAGCACUCGCUAAGCCGGGCAGCCCCGGGGUCGCUUAUCGGCCCAGGAGGCGCCAGCGAUCCUGUUCCCCUGCAGAGCUACGGGGACCAGAAGACGAAACAGAGCUGUCGACCCGGGAGCAUACGCUGCCCACCAGUGGAGCGCAGGUCAUCAAAGCCGAAUCCGAAUUUGAAUUCUGUGCGACUGAUUGCAGAGCUGUCUUGAGGCCCUGAGGACUGGGAUCUGCGACCCCCAGUAGACAAAAGUCGACUCUACCCCAGAUGCUAAUUUUCUCACGGCAGGCACCUGUUAAGAGGCUGCAAGUAAAAUAAAGGCUAGUUUCUGAGUUCAUGUAAGAAUCUGAGAAAUAACGGGGGUAAACUUUGACAAAGGGGUGUGAUCGAGACCUGAGGUCAUGAGAUUAAUGGGUUCUUAUUACCUCUUGCGGGGGGAGGUAAUAAAGGGGAGGGGCAGGUGGCCUGUGGCGUCCUGAAAAUUUUUCAUGCAUUCUUUUCCCGAGAACUAAACAUUGUCAACUCUAAUAUAUCUAUAGCGCAACUUGUUUCAAGGACAGUAAUGCUUUUCAUUUAAUAAUUUUCCAUUUAAUCCCUUUACUGCAUGGUCAUUUCUGUCUCUUAUAUUCCUAAGUUUCCCUUUAUAAGGAUUAGUCAGAUCAACAUUAUAUCUCUAACAAUGUUUGUUAGCUUUUUCACUCUCAUUAUACCUAGAGAAUUUAAUGGAAUAAACCAGAUUUUAUAUAUAUAUAAAUAUAUGUGUGUGUGUGUGCGUGUGUGUGUGUGUAUAAAAUUACUCAACAUUCAAGUAGUCUUGAAAAAAGAUGGGUAGGGGUCACCUUAUUUCCCUUCAUCAGUUACCAGUGUUCUCUUAACAUAAUGGAAGAGGCAGGAGGUAUUCCCACCUACAACUCAGGAUUCCUAUGUCCUAUGGGUUCAGUUGUGUCCCGCCCCCAAGAAAAAUAACACCAAAUGCAUCUAUUGGACUUCUGA